CCUACGGGAGGCAGCAGUGAGGAAUAUUGGUCAAUGGACGAGAGUCUGAACCAGCCAAGUAGCGUGAAGGAUGACUGCCCUAUGGGUUGUAAACUUCUUUUAUAAAGGAAUAAAACGCGGCACGUGUGCCUUUUUGCAUGUACUUUAUGAAUAAGGAUCGGCUAACUCCGUGCCAGCAGCCGCGGUAAUACGGGGGAUCCGAGCGUUAUCCGGAUUUAUUGGGUUUAAAGGGAGCGUAGAUGGGUUGUUAAGUCAGUUGUGAAAGUUUGCGGCUCAACCGUAAAAUUGCAAUUGAUACUGGCAGUCUAGAGUACAGUUGAGGUAAGCGGAAUUCGCGGUGUAGCGGUGAAAUGCUUAGAGAUCACGAAGAACCCCGAUUGCGAAGGCAGCUUACUAAACUGUGACUGACAUUGAUGCUCGAAAGUGUGGGUAUCAAACAGGAUUAGAUACCCUGGUAGUC
rnacentral:rRNA from 1 species